AUUUCCCUCAUGCUGUUCACUUUCACUGGAGACCGACCGCAACUGAACCUGAAACAGCCAGAUCAUCAGGACGGGAUUUUAAAAGUCCGUACAGUCUGGAGGUGUGACAUGGGUUAACGUCUGAGGCCUGGAGGAAUGUGUCCGGGUCAGCGCUGAGAAUUCCUCAGUCCUUCGAGACUAGGCUGAGGGCUUUCAUACCAGCUAUCAGUAUUCCUGAGUGAAGGAGUUUGCAGGCUCACCUCUUCAUUGGCUUGGCUAACAGCAGGGGUGACAGACAAACCCCCUGGUACUGAAGUGUUCCCACUGAUGGCAGAUGUGGUGAUUUGACAGUCUGAUCCUCACACGCUGGCUGGCUGGAAGCACGCACUUCAGACGUGCAGUUUUUAGACAUCAUGCAGAGUGCAAGGCACAUCUUCUAGACUAGGAAUGAUAAUGAGAUUGGGGGUGAUUUAAAUUUGAGAAAGAAUUGAUGUUUUUUUUGUUGUUGUUUUUUUUAAAGCAGGUGUUUGAUUUGAUAGGAAAAUACUUUCCCUAUAUAAACUGUUAGCAACAGCUCAUAGUUGAUAACGACUGAUGAGUAAUUGAUCAUUUUUAAGUAAAAUAAGGAUAUCUGCCUAAAAUAGUUGGCAAUCAAUACAAGAAUUUCAUUUAUUGCACAACUUUUUAGCUCCUUGUCAAAGUGUUUCAAUAUUUUGCAAACAAGAUUUGCUGUCUAUGUUUAGCAUCCAUUUUGUGCCAGUCAAUAUGUUGGUGGGUCGCUAAGAAAUAUCUGCAGUUCAUUUUAGUUUAGACAUUUAGUUUUCUCCUAUUUUGAUUUGUAUGACUUGAAUACAACAAAUACAAUAUAUAAGCAAUUUCAAGCAUCUUGGGCUUUAACAAUGUUCCAUUUUAGUAUUUCAACCAUUUAUAGAUAGAAUGGGAAGUAAACCAGUUUGUGAAAUAAAAAAUUA
ensembl:lncRNA